GAGGAUGACAGCUGACGGCCCGACCCCGACCAAUAAGAGCAAACGUACCUUGUUGAAAUUAAUGUAGUCUCUUUUCUACAGGAAGAGCUAAAGUUCUUAUGGAAAUCCAUUGUUGCCACAUCUUCAAAUAUGAGAAGAGACGUCUAUCAAUUGUCAUUGUCUGAUGAUCUUUGUUAUGUUUGGUUAUGUUGUUGUUGUCGUUGACAUUCUAACUUUUGAUAGGAUAAUAAGGAUAUUUUAAACACAUUUUAAAAGAAAAAGAACCUUAGUAGUCAGUAGAAAGAAAAGUAAUUUUAGAUUCCAACCGUAUUAUUACUUCUGAAAUAUGAUCAUCUAGUGGGAAAACCGCAGUGAUUGUGCCUUCAAAUGGGCAAUUUGAAACGACAACCCCAACAAAAACCAUUAUAUGUAAUUGUAAAUUGAAAUGAUUGAUAAUAAAAAUGUUUGUACAUAUGUAAUUGUACAUGUAAAGCUGGAAAUUCAGGCAUACCAUUGAAAAUUUGAAAAAAUUAAGCACCACACACAUCAAACAACAGUGGGGAUAAUUAAAAAAACAAUAAUACAACAUAGUCAACAAUAAAGUCCUACCAGUCUGCUGAUAAAUGGGCUAGUGAUAUUGUACUAAAUUAUGAUUUAGCUCUAUUUUACUCAAAUAAUGUUGAAGUAAGCUACAGUAACUCUGUUGAAAUGUCUUUAGCUAUGCUAAACCGAACUGUAGAAGCAUGGAAAAAGCUGACGUGACUGCAAGUAACUGGGACAAUUUAUUGCCAUUUAUUUACUUAUGAUAAAAAUAAAAGCCCAAGUUGGCCACUUAAAGUCGACCAAUUGUAUAGUUCCAAUUUUAAAGAAAAUACUGUACCCUUCUGUGGGAAACAAUUAUGAAUCAGUUGCUUUAAAUAUGUAUGAAAAAAUAACUCUAAGUAUGACUGGCAGUGUCAAUGGAAUUGUUUCCGGAAAAUGUCUAGAAAUAAACUGUCCUCUGGCAGGUAAAACAAAAUCUGUGCAAUCAAUUUUACGUGACCUUAAAUAUUUUGCAUAAUUGAGGGAAAACAAUAUUAUGUUAAAGAAAAAUCAUAUGUAUUUAUGGACAAGUGCAAUUGCUACUUACAGGACUACAAAUAUGUUAUUUUGUAGUGUUUUGUCCAUUUGAUAAGUCCACACUUCUUAUUAAAGUACCAUUUAAUGAUGAAUUUAUACAAGAAAUGUUAAAAAUUUUGGUAGAGGUAUAUUUUUACAAUGUAUUAUCAGUUUUAUUCCAAUUAUAUAAGUAAAAAACUUGUUUUAAAA
rnacentral:lncRNA from 1 species